rnacentral:tRNA from 2 species
GCGGAUGUGGCGGAAUGGUAGACGCACUGGUUUUAGGUACCAGCGGAGCAAUCUGUGGGAGUUCGAGUCUCUUCAUCCGCACCA